rnacentral:rRNA from 1 species
GACAUAGGUGGCGAACGUUAUCCGGAUUUAUUGGGCGUAAAGGAUGCGUAGAUGGUGGAAUAAGUUAUUAGUCAAAGUCAAGCUCAACUUGGCGGAAGCUGGUAAUACUAUUCUACUUGAGGAUAGGAGAGGUUGGCGGAAUUCUGUGUGGAGCGGUGAAAUGCGUUGAUCUACAGAGGAACACCAAAAAAGGCGAAGGCAGCCAACUAUUCUAUUCCUGACAUUGAGGCAUGA